rnacentral:rRNA from 1 species
UACGUAGGGUGCAAGCGUUUGUCCGGAAUUAUUGGGCGUAAAGAGCUCGUAGGCGGUCUGUCGCGUCUGCUGUGAAAACUCGGGGCUUAACCCCGGGCCUGCAGUGGGGUACGGGCAGACUAGAGUGCAGUAGGGGAGACUGGAAUUCCUGGUGUAGCGGUGGAAUGCGCAGAUAUCAGGAGGAACACCGGUGGCGAAGGCGGGUCUCUGGGCUGUGAACUGACGCUGAGGAGCGAAAGCGUGGGUAGCGAACAGG